rnacentral:rRNA from 1 species
GACGAACCACACGAACGUUAUUCGGAAUUACUGGGCUUAAAGGGUGCGUAGGCGGCGCGGUAGGUCGGGUGUGAAAUCCCUCGGCUCAACCGAGGAACUGCGCUCUAAACUACCGUGCUUGAGGGAGGUAGAGGUGAGCGGAACUUAGGGUGGAGCGGUGAAAUGCGUUGAUAUCCUAAGGAACACCGGUGGCGAAAGCGGCUCACUGGAUCUCUUCUGACGCUGAGGCACGAAAGCUAGGGGAGCAAACAGG